AGUGCAACAGAGAUAUACCGCCGUCAGGGCAAGCCUUGGCGGUAAGGGUGGAAAGGCGAGGCAAGAGCUCACCGGAGCGCAGGAGACUGCGCUGCCAUGUAAACCCUAUCCGAUGCAACGCCGAUUGGUACGGAGAGAAAUGCGUCUGCUCGGCGUACUCCGAUAUAGGCGGCUUGAUCCUGCGGGCGACCGCAGGGGUAGAUAAAUGUUCGUACUCGACAGAACUCGGCUUACAGAUGAGGUUAUAUU
rnacentral:RNase_P_RNA from 1 species